AUCGCCUUUGUCACUGUCAUUGUGGUUUUGGUGAUAAUUGCCAUAGCAGCAGCUUUUGUUCGACAUCGAAUAAAAGGAAAACAUGAAAGUGUGGACACGAUGUACCAAAAUGUUCAGUUCAAAAGAGUGACCCCACUUCCGGAUCAGAAUCCAACCGAUGAUGCUGCAGCUCCUUCUCCGUCCAGCUUGAUCGAAGUUGGGUCCAUUACAUUCACUGAGGCCGGAGACACGACUCAGCCUGAGAGCCUGUAAGCUCAGAUGGAGAAGUUGG